rnacentral:rRNA from 1 species
GUCUGGUGCCAGCAGCCGCGGUAAUUCCAGCUCCAAUAGCGUAUAUUAACGUUGUUGCAGUUAAAAAGCUCGUAGUUGAAAUGAAGGGUAGUUGUGUAAUGAAUACAUUCGUGUAUUUUGUUAUUCAACUACCCUCCUUCUAAAUUCGAUAUAUGAGUAUUAAUUUACUUGUAUAUGGUUUUAGACGUUUACUGUGAGAAAAUUAGAGUGUUCAAAGCAGGCAUUUGCUUGAAUAUAUUAGCAUGGAAUAAUCAUGUAUGAUUUUCAUGAUGUAUUUGAUUGGUUUGGUUCAUGAGAAUAAGAUUAAAAGGGACAGUUGGGGGUAUUCAUAUUCAAUAGUCAGAGGUGAAAUUCUCGGAUUUAUGGAAGAUGAACA